AUUGAACGCUGGCGGAAUGCUUUACACAUGCAAGUCGAACGGCAGCACGGGGGCAGCCCUGGUGGCGAGUGGCGAACGGGUGAGUAAUACAUCGGAACGUGCCCGGUCGUGGGGGAUAACGUAGCGAAAGUUACGCUAAUACCGCAUACGAUCUGAGGAUGAAAGCGGGGGACCUUCGGGCCUCGCGCGAUCGGAGCGGCCGAUGUCAGAUUAGGUAGUUGGUGGGGUAAAGGCCUACCAAGCCGACGAUCUGUAGCUGGUCUGAGAGGACGACCAGCCACACUGGGACUGAGACACGGCCCAGACUCCUACGGGAGGCAGCAGUGGGGAAUUUUGGGCAAUGGGCGCAAGCCUGAUCCAGCCAUUCCGCGUGAAGGACGAAGGCCUUCGGGUUGUAAACUGCUUUUGUACGGAACGAAAAGGCUCUGGCUAAUACCUGGGGCUCAUGACGGUACCGUAAGAAUAAGCACCGGCUAACUACGUG
rnacentral:rRNA from 1 species